UCUGUUCUUUAAUGAGUAGUCAUAAUAUGAGAAGCCCAAGCCACAUGGGGAGACCACAUGGAGAACUAACUUGCCUCUGUCAAUCCCAUAUGAUCUCCCUGCCAAGUGCCAGCAUCAAAUGCCAACCAUGAUUGUUUUAAGUCCUCAUUGGGCAUUUUAAGUUCUGUUUGAAAGAGCUGCAUCACAAUUCUUAUAAAGGACUUGUUGAAUCAUAAGCUGUUUCCUUAAGCACCAGUUAUGUGGGGGACCUUGUGCCAGGCACUGGGCCACAUAAAUGAGAAUCACAAGGACCAGGAUUAAGAAAAGACAGGCUCCAGUGUGACUCAGCACAGUGUUCACAGCCCAUGCUCUCAAGAAUCUCAGCUUAGGAGGAGGCAAAGAGGUUUCAGAGCAAGAUAGAAGAGGAGUACAUCUCAAAUGCUUUUGAAGUUACAUUUCCAAAGUGAGGUCCCAGCUGGAAGUAUAAAUGGUUCUCCAAUUUUGCAGAUGGAAUUUUAUCCAAUAUUCAGAUGUAUAAUCUGCUUCAAGUAUGUACACAGGGGAAGUAAUAAGAGUACUGUGAAUUCUCAACUGACCAUUUUCUGACACAUUAAAGAAAUAGCAAAGCACUUAUCUCUGAAGUCUCACUUUUUAAAUAUGUUACAAUGAAUUGUGAUCCUGUUUUAUGUAUCUGACUGACAGCACUGGGAAUUAAGUUCCUCAGCCAAUGAAAUAAUAAACCCAAUGCCACGAUAAAACCUACGGUAGAGACUGAUAAGGACUCCAGAUCCAGGCUGCUAAUACUCUUCAAAGUCAUUCAGCUGUGGCUACUACAUGAUGUCUGAGUGUUUCCACAAGGCACUGUUUUGGACAUUGGGAACAUCGAAGUAGAGUGAGCAUCAUCAUGAAUGGAAACACUUUCUCUGAAAAAAGACAUAAAACAAUUGAAAGUCAGCAGUGUCUUUCUUGCAAAAUAUUAUGAAGAUCAGGACAAUUAGAAUUAGGUAUACUCCAAUUCCAUUUUAGAAUUUGCAAUAGAGAAGGUGCUUUGGGAAUGGAAUUAAAUGAGCUGAUUCAUGUAAAGGGAUUUAACUGGGUGCCGGACCUGUCAUAAACUCUUAACGUGAACAGGAGAGUUACUGUAAAAACUGAGACAACAAAACAGCCGGAGGCAUGAAAAGAAAAAGAAUCCCGCAUGAAUAGCUUGCUAUAUGUAAUUUGGUUAGGAACAAUUCACAGGUUUUGACAGCUUUAUUAGAGUUCCAUUUUAGUAAGAUUCAGGUGAAAGUGAGGUCAUCACUUUAAAACAAAAAUCCUGAGAACAUACCCAGAUGGACUCACAUAAAUGAUGUAUACUAAUGUCGUCAAGUAAAUAUUUUAAAGAGUUAAUUGCUUUCUUUAUUAAAAACUGGAUUUAAAUACUCCAUUAUUUCAUAAGAAUAAAACAACUACAACACCGCCACAACAUAAAAAGUGUUUACCUUAAUGUAUUAUGAACACCAGCAGUGAGUUCCAGUAAUAUCUUGCACUUCUGAAGAUGUGUAAGUAUACUAAGGAACAUGCUUAACUUAGAACUCACUAAUGGAAGUUACAGAGAUUUAUUCAGAUCCAUGUUAGCAUGCUUGAUACCCUUAAGCACACUAACAAUAUACAGCAUCUGCUUUCAGGGAUGUUUUUACCUCUUGUACUAGUUUCAGAAAGCCCAUGUCUGAAUAAUUCCUAAGUAAUGGUUUUUUAGCUUACUCUAUAAUUUUGAUU
rnacentral:lncRNA from 1 species